GCAACAACGGCGACGGCUGUGACCAUGCUUGCCCCUCCAUUUGGGGUAUCAGAACUAAAACACACAAUGCUGCUAAUAGGAGGCAGCCACAGGUAGGUGCCGAUGGUGGGAGGAGCCAAAGACACGAGGUCAAAUGCAAGUUGGUGAUAUUUUAGUAUUACAACAGGAGUCACUGUUGCCUGGCCUGAAGUCCGGUCCACGUGGAAUGAGGAAUCGGAGGGGCAGAUGAUCUUCCCCACCUGCCCCUGCCCACCACCGCACCACAAACGCAAAGAUACGACAAAAUCAGAAGCGUUAUUCAGUCCACAGAACCCAUUCCAAUAUCCCGAUUCUGAUACUGCGUUUUCCUCUUCCUUUCCCUUUCUGUCCCUCUUUCUUUCGGCAGACGGCAAUGUUGUUCCUCGAUACCUUAACAACACUAGCCAGCGCCAGGAACAAGCAGGUUGGUGUGGGCGUGGGCGACGAUAUUCCGUUUCCUACUGCAUGCUGGUUCCUCUACGCUGGCCUCUCCUGUGUCCUCGUUCUGUUCGCCGGUAUCAUGUCUGGCCUUACCCUGGGCUUGAUGUCCCUCAACCUCGUCGACCUCGAAAUCCUUCAACGUACCGGUACUUCCACCCAGAAAAACCAUGCUGCUACUAUUAUACCAGUGCUCCACAAGCAGCACCAAUUGCUCGUUACCCUCCUGCUUUGUAAUGCUUGUGCCAUGGAGGCUCUUCCCAUAUACCUGGAUAAAAUCUUCCACCCCUUCGUCGCGGUUUUUCUGUCUGUAACCUUUGUUCUUGCCUUUGGCGAGAUUAUUCCACAAGCAAUAUGCUCCAGAUACGGACUUGCUGUUGGUGCAAAUUUUGUAUGGCUAGUGCGUAUUCUGAUGAUCAUUUGUUAUCCAAUUUCAUACCCUGUUGGAAAGGUGUUGGAUGCGGUACUUGGACAUGAUGAUGCUUUGUUUAGGAGAGCACAGUUGAAAGCGCUUGUUUCUAUCCAUGGUCAAGAGGCUGGGAAGGGGGGUGAACUCACACAUAAUGAGACAACCAUCAUCAGUGGGGCACUUGACUUGACAGAAAAGACUGCAGAGGCGGCUAUGACACCAAUAGAAUCAACAUUUUCCUUGGAUGUGAAUUCCAAAUUGGACUGGGAAGCAAUUGGAAAAAUCCUUGCACGAGGUCAUAGUCGUGUUCCAGUCUAUUCAGGGAAUUCAAAGAAUAUAAUUGGUCUACUAUUGGUGAAAAGUUUACUGACAGUGAGAGCAGAAACAGAAACUCCAGUCAGUGCUGUCUCCAUACGGAGAAUUCCUAGGGUUCCGUCGGAUAUGCCUUUAUAUGAUAUCCUAAAUGAGUUCCAAAAGGGAAGCAGUCAUAUGGCUGCCGUAGUCAAGGUAAAGGAGAAGAAUAAGAACUCUAUGCUUACCAAUGAUGGAGAGAAAUAUGAGGAAGAGAAAAUUAUCUCUGGGAUAUCUCCGCUAGCCAUUCCCUUGCUCACCAAACAUGAUAAUGAUUUGGAAAGUGUUUAUGUUGACAUUGAAAAAGCUCCAAUAAAUACUGGACACAAACAAACCAUGAAGCCGAAUGUGGCUGCAAUGAAUGGAGUGUGCAAUUUGUUAGAAGAGAUUGAAGAUGAGGAAGUUGUUGGAAUAAUCACCUUAGAGGAUGUUUUUGAGGAACUUCUGCAAGAGGAAAUUGUAGAUGAGACAGACGUAUAUGUGGAUGUUCAUAAAAGGAUACGUGUGGCUGCGGCCGCGGCAGUGGCUGCUACAUCUGUGGCGUGGGCUCCAUCAGCUCGUAGGUUGACGCUUGACAGGUCAAAAGUUCACUGUACAAUCAUUAUCUGGCGUAGAUCGUGCUUGGGAAUUAGUAUAACCCUGUCAUCCGUCCUAAGGACACUGAACACUACGCAGCUGCAAAUAACAUUACAAUGGGGAUAAUAAUCAAUACCUCGAUUGAUGAUGCUACCUCACAGUAUCCCAAAUUUUACUCCAUCAGAUGAAGAGAGUGUCUUGGAUUACAUUUAGAGAGUGGAGACAAGCUGGAAAAGAAACACUGCACUUAGUUCUUUUACCUGGCAGGUUAGAUUUAUAUUUACGUAGUAUUAAAUUUAUGUUGAUCUUUGUUUACAGAUAAAGUUGAAUGACAUCUCCAGUCCGGCGUAGGAAUUGUUAUUGUCUAUUCAGAUCGGAAUAUUGGAUGCUGCCUUGGGGGAAAAUUUUUUUUAUGUACAUGAACUGCCAGAUCAGAUAGUAAAUAAACAGGGAUGAUCAUGCAACAGUGUUAGAUGAUGCAUGGGAUAGAGUUGUCAAAAUUUUGGAUUUGGUUAGUGAUAGAACCCAUAUUACGGAAUACGAUUGACUAGGAAAUUGAGAAUGAUACAGCCCUAAAUCAGACUUCCGAGAGGUUCACUCUCUGUAGCAUACCGAAAUCAAACAGGAACUUGUCCUGUAAAAUACCCCACUAUUCUAUCUGGAUAACCGAAAUGCCAUAGUAAACCAUGUGUACAAGAAACCGCCAUCAACCUCCCACAUUACAUAAAAGUCACUUUCACAGCGACCCACAUGUCCUACUAGUAUUUUUGUGGUUCGUUCUCCUAGCAUAGGCGUAACGAACUGGAGGAAAGAUAGAACACUUGGCUGUUUCCUAUUUCCAUUUAGUUUCAUAGACUUGAAAUCCAUUGAAAUUUUUGUUUACAGAGGAUAUAGUACAUUGCGAAUAUGGGGUAGAACUAUUGGGAGCUUUUUAUCCUGCUCGCUGGGUACGUCCAGUGGGGAAUUCUAAAGAGAUGGGCUCAAAUAGAGUAAGCUUCGUAUAGUGCAUUCGGUGGCUUUGUGUAUAGUAUACAUUGACUCUCCUAUCAAUUUGGGGGAGAUUGAUUCACCUAUUCAACAUGAAUAAAUUCUUAUGUAUGUCUUUUGUAGUGUUCUCUAUGUCAAUUCAAUUGAUAAGUAUAAUGACUCCUGUUGCCGUCUACUCUUGUAUCGCAUAAACAACAUGGAGGAAAGAUAUAUAUUGAAAUUGUGACACUUCUAUUAUCAUGAAGAAUUCAGUGUUACAUCAAGGUUGAAAAUUGUCAAUAUGAAUAUUACAGCAAAGAUAUUGUUGAUGUCUU